CAGGUACUCCCUUCGUUCAGAAUUACUUGUCACAAAAAUGGAUAUAUCUACAACUAAAAUACGUCUAGAUACAUCCAUUUCUUUGACGAGUAAUUCCGAACGGAGGGAGUAACUA
rnacentral:pre_miRNA from 1 species